GGUGAGAUGGCCGAGUUGGUUAUGGCGCCAGGUUAAGGUUACCUUAACAUCUUAACAUCCUGGUGGAGCAAUCCGCGUGGGUUCAAGUCCCACUCUCAUCA